rnacentral:rRNA from 1 species
UUUGAUGGCGACCGGCGCACGGGUGAGUAACACGUAUCCAACCUGCCGAUGACUCGGGGAUAGCCUUUCGAAAGAAAGAUUAAUACCCGAUGGCAUAGUUCUUCCGCAUGGUGGAACUAUUAAAGAAUUUCGGUCAUCGAUGGGGAUGCGUUCCAUUAGGUUGUUGGCGGGGUAACGGCCCACCAAGCCUUCGAUGGAUAGGGGUUCUGAGAGGAAGGUCCCCCACAUUGGAACUGAGACACGGUCCGAACUCCUACGGGAGGCAGCAUG